rnacentral:rRNA from 1 species
UACGUAGGGUGCAAGCGUUGUCCGGAAUUAUUGGGCGUAAAGAGCUCGUAGGCGGUUUGUCGCGUCUGCUGUGAAAACUCGGGGCUUAACCCCGGGCCUGCAGUGGGUACGGGCAGACUAGAGUGCGGUAGGGGAGACUGGAAUUCCUGGUGUAGCGGUGAAAUGCGCAGAUAUCAGGAGGAACACCGGUGGCGAAGGCGGGUCUCUGGGCCGUAACUGACGCUGAUGCACGAAAGCUAGGGGAGCAAACAGG